rnacentral:rRNA from 1 species
GGUGAACGCUGGCGGCGUGCUUAAGACAUGCAAGUCGAACGGCAGUCUUCGGACUGUAGUGGCGCACGGGUGAGUAACGCGUAACUGACCUACCCCAAAGUCGCGGAUAACGAUUCGAAAGGAUCUCUAAUACGUGAUGUGCUGUCAGAUUGUGUUCUGCCAGUAAAGAUUGAUUGCUUUGGGAUGGGGUUGCGUUCCAUCGCCUAGUUGGUGGGGUAAAGGCCCACCAAGGCGACGACGGAUAGCCGGCCUGAGAGGGUGGCCGGCCACAGGGGCACUGAGACACGGGUCCCACUCCUACGGGAGGCAGCAGUUAGGAAUCUUCCACAAUGGGCGAAAGCCUGAUGGAGCGACGCCGCGUGAGGGAUGAAGGUCUUCGGAUCGUAAACCUCUGAAUCAGGGACGAAAGACACUUCGGUGGGAUGACGGUACCUGAGCAAUAGCCCCGGCUAACUCCGUGCCAGCCGCCGCAGUAAUAC